rnacentral:rRNA from 1 species
AACGCGAAGAACCUUACCUGCCCUUGACAUCCACGGAAUCCUGUAGAGAUACGGGAGUGCCGCAAGGAACCGUGAGACAGGUGCUGCAUGGCUGUCGUCAGCUCGUGUUGUGAGAUGUUGGGUUAAGUCCCGUAACGAGCGCAACCCCUGUUUUCAGUUACCAGCGAGUAAAGUCGGGAACUCUGAAAAGACUGCCGGUGAUGAACCGGAGGAAGGCGGGGACGACGUCAAGUCAUCAUGGCCUUUAUGGGCAGGGCUACACACGUGCUACAAUGGGGCGUACAGAGGGAAGCCAACCCGCGAGGGGGAGCCGAUCCCAGAAAGCGUCUCUUAGUCCGGACUGGAGUCUGCAACUCGACUCCACGAAGUCGGAAUCGCUAGUAAUCGCGAAUCAGAAUGUCGCGGUGAAUACGUUCCCGGGCCUUGUACACACCGCGUGUCU